AAACGCCCCCCUCCCCACCCUCUUGUUUUGCAUGGCUCCUGCUGAGGAAAUGAGGCCAGCUGAGGAGGGCAGCUAUAAAGGGGCAGCUGGGAGGGAGCUGCUGGGGAGCCAGAGCUCAGGCACAGGGAGAUGAUGGGGUCUCAGGCUCAGCUGUUCUGCCUCCUGCUUCUCUGCAUCCCAGGUUCCAGAGGGGCCAUUGGGCUGACCCAGUCUCCAGCCUCCCUGGCUGUGUCUCCAGGAGAGAGUGUCUCCUUGUCCUGCAGGGCCAGUCAGAGCAUUGGUAGCAGCCUGAACUGGUACCAAAAGCCCCCAGGCCAGUCUCCCAGGCUCCUCAUUUAUGGGGCUUCCAGCCUGCAGCCUGGGGUCCCUGCCCGGUUCAGUGGCAGUGGCUCUGGGACAGAUUUCUCUCUUACCAUCAGUGCUGUGGAACCAGAGGACGUCACAGACUAUUACUGCCUACAACUCAGUAGUUAUCCUCUCACACGGGGGAGGGGCCACAGGAGUGAAAUUCCUGAGAAGACUCUGGCUGGGAGACACCACUGUCUGCUGCUACUGUUGCCUGUGCUGCUACUGCCACUGCUGUUGCAGUACUCUUCCUGCUGCCUUCCAGUUUUGACCAAACACUAUGUAGGUGGGCCUCCCCCAACCUGCAACAUCCAGACCCAGCAUAAGAACCUGCCAUUCUGA